GAGAAAACUUAUGAAAAUCUGUAGCUUCUGGCAGUGAAGCUACCCAGGAGUGAGAGAGUGCUCUAUGUGCUGCGGUGUUUGUCUUCUUGAAGAUCCUGCAAAUGGCCCAUGCUUCCUGAUCAUGAAUAAUAAAUAAUUAAAGACAAGAGAUUUCUUCAGGCCUAUGCAUUUUACUCCCUCAGAUGAAUAGAUAGGCCUGUCUGUUCCCGUGGCUUUCCAAAAUCCUGCGCUGGUAACUCUGUUGGGCCUCGCACUGUUGCGGUAUUUCCUAUCCCUCGGACAGUAGAAGUACCAUUCCUUCUCACCCGUUGUUGCCAUCUCUGCUCACAAGCAAGCUAGCAUUUAGCCUUUUUUUUUUUAUUGAAAAGUCCACCCUGGAAGCGCUUGGGGAUGCAAAAGAUGUUAUUUGAAAGAGAUGGGAGCUGGGACAUAACUUCCAAGCCAAAAGACAAAAUAUUAGCUUGAUUAAAGGUAUGCAUCUGUACAGCUGUAGGAGAACUACGUGCACAUUCUUAUAUUAUUAUUAUUAUGCAACUUCAGCUAUGUAACUGUGUGGAAGGCAAGAAAGCAGCUUUGUUUUUUAAUUUUUUCUUGACUAAUCUUGUCAGAAAUCACCCACAUAUGCCAUACAAUAUGUACAAUCAUCAUGUUUCAUUUGUGUCUGAUAUAUGUUAGUUAGCUAAUGCUAUUUUUUUAUAUAUAUUUGAAAUAAAAUUAUCAUGCCAUAUUUGAAUUC